UGUCCAUGCAAUGGGAUAUUAUUGUCUUAAAAAAGGAAGGAGUGGUGUCCAUUUUGUAUCAGCCAGGGACAAAGCAACCCCUUGUUUAUCCCAGCUUAGCUUUUGGUCUGUACCCAUGACCAGUUCAUGCCUUGGACACAUGA
ensembl:snoRNA